rnacentral:lncRNA from 1 species
GCAGCAGUAAUGGUGGUGGGCGGGUAGUGGUGGCAGCAGUAAUGGUGGUGGGCGGGUAGUGGUGACAGUAAUGGUGGUGGGCGGGUAGUGGUGACAGUAAUGGUGGUGGGCGGGUAGUGGUGACAGUAAUGGUGGUGGGCGGGUAGUGGUGGCAGCAGUAAUGGUGGUGGUGGUGGUGGCAGUAGUAACAGUGGUAGGCGGGUGGUGGUGGUAGUAUUAUUAAUAAUAUUAUGGUGGCAGUGGUGGCAGCAGCCGCAGUGGUGGGUGCCACACAGGUGUGCAGAGGGCCCUGGGAGCCACCUCAAUGGUGGAGACGUGCACCUCCCUUGACUGCCCACAUCACCAUGGGCCUCUCCUGUUGCUCCCGCGUGUGCUGCACACCAGGUCUUCUGUGCACUUCACCACAGUUGGAGCAGGAAGGUGCAGUGGCCAGACUUGUGGGCUCGAGGCAGCUGCCUGGGUUUGAAUCCUGGCCCUACUACUUGCUAGCUGUGUGACCCUGGGUGAGAAGCUUAAUGUCUCUGUGCCUUUCCUUCCUGAACUGUUAAAAUGGGGAUCAAAUGUUAUUAGUUCCUGCCUCUGAAGCCCUUGGGGCAGUGCCAGGCAGGUAGCCAGUGCUUAGGAAGGCUUAGGUCUCCACUUGUGUGACUCUCUACCCUGCCACUGGGAUCUUCUCUUUAAAACAUCAACCUCAGCUGAAAAACCCUUCAGGGCCCUCAUCAGCUCUAUCCCUCCCCACCUCCCACUCCCCACACAGGCUUCUUCUGGUCAUGCUGCCGUCCUAGCCAUCACUAGCAGGAGAUACUCGGCUUUGAACUUACUGCUUCCUUCUACUCUUUCUUUCUUAGCUGCCUGACCACCUUUGCUCAUUCUUCAAAGCACAGGCCAAGGUUCACCCUCAGCCCUCCUCCCCAUCCCAGAGAUGGACAAAGUAUCUCCUCACCAUGCAUUGCCCACACACACCUCAACCAGGAUUCUUCUUGUAAUGAUGCUCACGUUCAGGUUUUUAGCCACUUGUGGUAGACUGGAGGUGGUAUCAUUUAUUCUAUUUUAUAAACAAUGUUUAUAGUUUGUAUGACAGUUAUGGUAUAAACUAUGUUUAUAAAUUAAGAGUUUAGUGUUGGGCAUGGUGGUUCACACCUGUAAUUCCAGCACUUUGGGAGGCUGAGGCAGGAGAAUGGCGUGAACCCGGGAGGCGGAG